rnacentral:lncRNA from 1 species
CUGGUCAGCCAGAGAAGUUCUGGAAAAAGGCUUGUGCUGGAGGAUAGGCAAGGGGAAUUGUAUUUCCACUUGGGAUGAUCGUUGGAUACUGGGUUACGAUGAGGAAAUGUUACGGUAUCAAAGAGGAAACACAAAUAUUGAGUUAGUCUCAAACUUGAUUGAGGAAGGGAGUAGAACAUGGAAAACAGAUUUAAUUUUUAAUACCUUUGAUGAGGAUAUUGCAAAGAACAUCCUGUCGAUCCCUUUGGCAAUGUCUUUACAUGAUAAUUUCCAAGCUUAGGGUAGAGAACCAUCAGGUACCUUUUCGGUUAGAAGUGCCUACAAACUAUUACAAAGGACUACUCGGAUUCCUAGUAAUAAUACUUUACAGACCAAAAACACAGCUUUUUACAGAAAACUAUGGGAUUUACACAUUCCUUCGAAAAUUAAAGUUACAAUCUGGAAAAUUUCCUGGAAUUAUAUCCCUACGCUAGCUAAUUUGAAAUUGAAGCGAGUUGCAAAUGAAGCCUGGUGCCCCAGAUGUCGGCAGUUAGAGGAAGAUAGCAACCAUGUUUUCAGAAUAUGUCCUAUAUCGACAGAAGUUUGGAGGUAUUUAAACUUCUCUUGGGUGCUUAACAAUAGUAUUCAGAGUAUUUGGGUGUGGUUCACCUGGGUCUUUAAGCGAGGAACAAAAGAACAGUGCCGAUUAUUUUCUUGUGGGAUUUGGCUUUUCUAGUCAAACAGGAAUCAAUUGCUGCACGAAAGUAAAAAUAGAAUAGGUAGAGAAAUCUCUCGACAAAUAAGCAGCUAUAUCUCAGAGUUGCAAAGCUUAGAAGAAAAACUACUUAUCUCUGAUACAGGAAGGAUUUUUAACCAUGAAGAUCGAAGGACGAGGGUAGUGACCAACAUCUCUCCAGGUCUGCCUCGGGACUGCUUGUUCGUGACACGCGAGGGGAUAUUUUGGUUUCAAAGUCGGUUAUCCAUGAAAAUGUCGCCUCACCAUUCGCGACGGAAGUACAUGCAGGAGCACAAGCAGUAAGGUUAGUGAUUUUAUUGGGUCUUUAUGAAUGCGACAUUAAUGGAGAUUUAAGAACUGUUAUAAAAAAUGCCAGAGUACAGAUAGGGAUAACUCGAUUAUUGGGGCUAUAAUAAGGGACAUUCAAGAUAUGAAGCAUUUCUUCCAAAAACUAAACUUUUACCAUAUUCCAAAGUCAGAAAACACCUUUGCUAAUGUGAUUGCAAAGGAAGCGUUGAAAGAAAAUGAAGGUCAUUACCUGGAUGGAGGAAUUCCUGAGCAUGUUCGAAGAGUUCUGGAAAGGAGAAGGCCACAGGCUCCAGAUUU